UUCCCUCACUAAAAUGCUCCCAUGCAAGAUUCUAUUUUGGCUUAUGCUGAAGGAUGAUGCAAAACACUCAUCAAAAAAUGGAUGGUGCAAAAGCGGCAAUUGAAUCUUGCUUGAAUGAAGGAAUUUUCAACACUUUGAAAUUUGGAGUACAACAAUCUAAAAUAAAUGAACAAAAAGUAGCAAAAUAGAAAAUUAAUCUGAUGGCUAGUCUUAUAUUUGCUU
rnacentral:lncRNA from 1 species